rnacentral:tRNA from 1 species
GCCGCCUUAGCUCAGUUGGUUAGAGCGCUGGUUUGUGGAACCAGAGGUCUUCGGUUCAAACCCGAAAGGCGGUACCA